rnacentral:rRNA from 1 species
UGGGGAAUCUUCCGCAAUGGACGAAAGUCUGACGGAGCAACGCCGCGUGAGUGAAGAAGGUUUUCGAAUCGUAAAGCUCUGUUGUCAGGGACGAGCAGGGGGAGUAUCAACAACACUCUCUCAUGACGGUACCUGACGAGGAAGCCACGGCUAACUACGUGCCAGCAGCCGCGGUAAUACGUAGGUGGCGAGCGUUGUCCGGAAUUAUUGGGCGUAAAGGGAGCGCAGGUGGGAAAGUAAGUCUGCUUUAAAAGUGCGGGGCUCAACCCCGUGAGGGAGUGGAAACUAUUUUUCUUGAGUGCAGGAGAGGAAAGCGGAAUUCCUAGUGUAGCGGUGAAAUGCGUAGAUAUUAGGAGGAACACCAGUGGCGAAGGCGGCUUUCUGGACUGUAACUGACACUGAGGCUCGAAAGCCAGGGGAGCGAACGGGAUUAGAUACCCCGGUAGUCCUGGCCGUAAACGAUGGAUACUAGGUGUAGGAGGUAUCGACCCCUUCUGUGCCGGAGUUAACGCAAUAAGUAUCCCGCCUGGGGAGUACGAUCGCAAGAUUG